UUUUGUAGAGGUGCCAAAAUUAAGAGUAAGUAUUAGGAGUCGCAAGCUUUGAUUAAUACUAAAAGGAAAAUUGGCCGAAGAUUGAUAGUGCAAAAUAUCAUUCUGGACAUAUGCAUAACAUGUAUAUGGCUGUCACAUUAAUUGCAAAAUAAUUGUAAUAAUAAAGUGGAGUGCUACUAAG
rnacentral:ncRNA from 1 species